ACUACUCCAUCCAGCAGCAGCUGGGUUCAAGCUCAGAGACUGGCCAGCAGCCUUCCAAGUAGCCCUGACAUGGAGGCACUGAAAGCUGAUGGCAAAGCAACAGCCACAAGAUCAAGGGAAAGGAGGCACUGAGGAAUGUGCCAAGGGAAAGGGAAGGUCCCGAGUCCUCAGAGCUGUGGAUGCCAACACCACCAGCAGCCCUGCAGGCACGUGCUCAGUUCCCACCACCAUCAGGAUCCUCCAGGAUGCUGAUACCUUGGCAGGGACCCUCUGGGGAUGCUGGAGAACAGCUCAGGGGUGCUCCAGGGAUGCACACAGUGAUGCUGCUGCUGGGUUAUCUGGGCCCGCGGGCAUGGGCUCGAGCCCUUCACAGCAGCUGGAGCUGCUUUUCUUUGGAUGGAUCAUCUUUCAGCAUAUCUCCUGCUGAAAUCCGUGAUUGCCCUGGUGAGCUGAGAGACAAUGGCUGGAGUUCCAGUGGAGCUGGAGGAAGAGGAGCAUGGAAAUGGCCACAGCACCGUUCCCAGCCUUGGAAAAAUGAACUGCAGGGAUGACAUCCCACCACCUCCUCUGAAUUCCCCCUCCUGCUUUGUCCAUGACUUUCCCAAUAAACAUCUCCUUCCUCUGGGAUUUUGACCUUUAAAGUGCCAUAAAGGCCUGGCACAACAGCAAGGGCAAGGGAAUCGUGACUUCCAUAGUCCCAGGACUAAGUUGGUUUUCUCUUAAAUUAAGACAUUUUACAAAUGUUCUGGAUUAACCUUUAUAAGGAGUUGCUGCCUUCAGGUCAUGUGUUUUGGGUUGUUUUUUUUCUUUAAAUGUAGUAAUUUAUAUGAGUCUUUCUAUUUAAACUAAAAGGCUGCAAGAAAGAUUUGAAGACUCUUAAAGAAACGAAAACCAGAUCACUUCACGUGCUAGAUCCUGACCCAAAGGAGAAUGUGGGAGAUGCACAUUUAGGGACCACCUUGGUGCCCCUGAAGGGGCAGAGAGGGCAAUGAUGCUGCCAGACCUUGGAAGGAGGGAUCCUUUCAUCACAAAGGGUUAUGGGCAUGCCAGGAGGGAUGUGGGCAUGCCAGGACUAAUGGACAGCCCCUCACCCAGGGGUGCAGCAGGGUACACAGCAGAGGCCUUAAAAACUCAUCGCUCAGGUGUUCUUCAAGCUGCUGCAGGGCACAGAGGAACAAAACAAGGGUUAUUCAAUUUUUUAUUUCACUACAGGGAAUAUUUAUUAAACUAAAAAGAUGGGGUUGGGUGGAAAUGACCCUACCCACACUGUACUUAUUUUAGCCAAAAGGUGUGUUUGCUACUGGGGGAUUUCUGUGGGUGCCUUCCUGGUUUUCUUCUUCCUGGGGGAUGGGGUGGCUGUGGAUGGGACAGGUAAGGGGGAUGCUGCUGUUCUCCUCACUCCCCCCCACCACUCCAUGCCUGUGCACAGUGAUUUGGAAAGCAGUGUUUGUUAAUAAUGUUGUUUUUGUACAUAUAUAAGGUUCCAGGGAAGAACGCUCCUUCCCUUUAUUUAAUUUUUUGAUAAGAAUAUGAAGAGUUGCCUCACCUGGUUUAAGUGAGUUUAACUUCUUUCCAGACAUGCCUUGCCUCUGUCCCUGCUUCCCAGCAUGGGCACAAGGGGACCUUCCUGGGCUUGGAGGGAUUCCAGAUCCCCCACCCAUGCACUGCCCUCUUCUCCCUGCAACAAGACACAAGUGCUGAGCCCAGGCUCUGUCCCAUCACUGCAGGCUGGAUCCAGCAUCCAGGAUGCCCUCAGAGGAGCACAUCCCAGCCUGCACAAACCCCACGGGUGACAGCCUGGGAGGAGGGUGCUGCUGCAUGUCUGAGCACCAGAAACUGGGCAGGAGAGUCUGGGUGCUCAGGGGUGCAGCCUGGGCUGAGCCAGGGGACACCCCUGAGACCCUUCCCCUUGGGAGCCUCCAUCAGGCACAGAAUCUGCCUGACCCCAAAGGCCAAGGGCUGCAAUCCACCUUUGUCAGCCCCACUUGUGGAGCCCAGCAGGUGAACACUGCCACAGCCUCACAGCCAGGGAGCUUUGGGGAGCACUAGCAGGGUUUGGGGAUCAUCCUGCCUGCAGGGACAGACCCACCCCCCCUGCUGCUGCUGCCAAGGGCUCCAUGAGGAGCAGAAGGAAGCUGAAACCCCUCCAGCUUCAGCUGGGGGAGGGCAGAUGAGUUUGUGUGUUAAUUGGGAGCAGCUGGAGCAGAGGCACAGCCUCCCCUGGGUGCCCAGAUAAAAGGCAGGCCUUGGCUGGCCCUGGCUGCUCUCUGCUCCUGGGAGCUGCAGGUGAGGGGUGCUGCGGGCCUGGCCCUGCCUGGGGAGGGCUCUGGG